UGAUAAGGACUGUUAGAGGCACUUAAAAUUUCGGAUGGAGUCCGGCAACGCUGGCACAUGGAAGUGCCAGCGAGGUGCAUAUGAACAUGGAUGUGAAUUUGCACCGGUUGCCAGAAGAAAAUAAAAAUGAAAUCGAAAUUCUUAGUGCCUCUUGCAGUUCUUAUGG
rfam:Roseburia sp. CAG:45 genomic scaffold, scf88